rnacentral:lncRNA from 1 species
AUCUCAGCUGCUCUACUAGAUGAAAAAACAAACAAACCAGAUAAUGUUAAUCCCUAUCCCUGCAUUUCAAUGCCAUAAAAAGAUUUACCUGUUGAAUUUCUGACCUGCCAUGGAGCAAGCCAGCACACCUAGGAGUACUUGGUGGAAGAGUGAGGGGAGAGUAGAUGGAAUUGUAGGUGCAGAGAUACCGAAGGAACUGAAAAGACUGUUUAUGGACGCUGCAACAACUGCAAGGAUGCUCCUUGCCCAGAGAUGGAAAGAUGACAAGAUUCCUACUAGGGCAGACUGGCAGGUGAAAUUAUUGGACAAUGCAGAGAUGGCAAGAUUAACCAGGAAAAUCAGAAAUCAGGAGGAUCAAAACUUCAACAAGGAAUGGAAUAAAUAUAUAAUGUACUUGAAAGACCACUGUAAACACUUGAAUUCUUUGGCAGGCUUCAAAUAACUCUUGCAAUGACGCAUAGACUUUGGAUACAAUGGAGGAUGAUAAACU